GGGGGCGAUACGGUUUCGACGGGGAUAGUUGAGGCGUAAGCGGCAUGCCGGGGACUUCCAGCCCGUAAUCUGGGGAAAAAUGUAAUCGCAGACGAUUACGCUUUGGCUCAGGCCGCUUAAUCCGGCUUAAGCCAGCAGCCACUACGAGAGGGUUGCCGUCCGUCCCAUUCUUUGCCUGCGGGAAUGGCCGACGGGCGUCAAAUACAGCAGGAAAAGACGCUUUAUUUUACCCGGCGGGCAAGGCGUUUAAAUUAAACACCGGGCUGGUCCGGAAAAUCCUGCCAAUGGGAUCCUUACGGGCGAGAAUCAAAACAUCUGGCUAAGCAUGUAGAAGUUUACGGUGAAGAUUUCCGGACGGGGGUUCAAUUCCCCCCGCCUCCACCA
rnacentral:tmRNA from 1 species